GACGAACGCUGGCGGCGUGCUUAACACAUGCAAGUCGAACGGAAAGGCUCCAGCUUGCUGGAGUACUCGAGUGGCGAACGGGUGAGUAACACGUGGGUAAUCUGCCCUGCACUCUGGGAUAAGCCUGGGAAACUGGGUCUAAUACUGGAUAUGACCUUUCUCCUUAUGGGGUUUGGUGGAAAGUUUUUCGGUGUAGGAUGAGCCCGCGGCCUAUCAGCUUGUUGGUGGGGUGAUGGCCUACCAAGGCGACGACGGGUAGCCGGCCUGAGAGGGUGAUCGGCCACAUUGGGACUGAGAUACGGCCCAGACUCCUACGGGAGGCAGCAGUGGGGAACAUUGCACAAUGGGCGGAAGCCUGAUGCAGCGACGCCGCGUGAGGGAUGACGGCCUUCGGGUUGUAAACCUCUUUCAGCAGGGACGAAGCGUAAGUGACGGUACCUGCAGAAGAAGCACCGGCUAACUAUGUG
rnacentral:rRNA from 1 species